rnacentral:rRNA from 1 species
UGACCGCUGGCGGCAUGCUUUACACAUGCAAGUCGAACGGCAGCGCGGGCUUCGGCCUGGCGGCGAGUGGCGAACGGGUGAGUAAUGCAUCGGAACGUGCCCAGUAGUGGGGGAUAGCCCGGCGAAAGCCGGAUUAAUACCGCAUACGACCUGAGGGUGAAAGCGGGGGACCGAAAGGCCUCGCGCUAUUGGAGCGGCCGAUGUCGGAUUAGCUAGUUGGUGGGGUAAAGGCUUACCAAGGCGACGAUCCGUAGCUGGUCUGAGAGGACGACCAGCCACACUGGGACUGAGACACGGCCCAGACUCCUACGGGAGGCAGCAGUGGGGAAUUUUGGACAAUGGGGGCAACCCUGAUCCAGCCAUGCCGCGUGCGGGAAGAAGGCCUUCGGGUUGUAAACCGCUUUUGUUCGGGAAGAAAUCCUCUGGGCUAAUACCCCGGGGGGAUGACGGUACCGGAAGAAUAAGCACCGGCUAACUACGUG